CCAAAAUAAGAAAACCUAUUCCCUUCAUCAAACAUGAAAUGGAAGACGGCUGGAAACAAAAUCAAGCAGACACAAUAUAACAAACCAACGCAGACACAAUAAAAUUUCCGGCAGAGAUAGCCUUCUUCCUCGGGUUUCAAGAUUGUUGCAGAAAUCAUUCUUCUCCUUCACUUUCUUGUCAUUAUCGGCAAAAUAUUCUGCUUACCAGGUUUGGAAGUCAAUUCGGGUCUAUAUCAUAGCAAGGUAUCAAUUGAGGGUGAGUGGAGAAGCAAGAAAUGGAAAAGAAAAGAACUGGGAGCGUGCUAGGGUUCGUGCAACGCGUGGAUUGUGGCACGCCAUCCCUCUCAGCAAGUUUGAAAAAUCAGUGAAGUAUAGAAGAUGGCGUCGGCGCGGGUACGCUACCCCCACCUGAAGCCUUUUAAGUACUCACCUUGGGGGUUCAAUUCCCCCAUUUCACUUGGACUGAAUUUGGAGCUCUUCUCCACUCUCUCAAGACCACCAACUCCUUUCUUUUUCAAGAUAUUCAAGAAAUUUUUUCGAGAACUCAAAGGAGGAUUUUGCAAGAUUUCUUCCAAAAGAUUGAAGUUGCUUAGUGUAGUGGAUCUUUGUAGUAUCA